GACGAACGCUGGCGGCGUGGAUUAGGCAUGCAAGUCGGACGGUAGGGCUUUAUCGUAAGAUAGAGUUUGAGAGUGGCGAACGGGUGAGUAACACGUAGGAAUCUACCCUUAAGACGGGGACAACCCAGGGAAACUUGGGCUAAUACCGGAUGAGAGUGCGAGAGAUUGCAUUUAAAAGGAUGGCGAAAGUUAUCGCUUAGGGAUGAGCCUGCGGUCUAUUAGUUAGUUGGUGGGGUAAGAGCUCACCAAGGCGAUGAUAGAUAGGCGGCCUUAACGGGUGGUCGCCCACACUGGGAUUGAGAUACGGCCCAGACUCCUACGGGAGGCAGCAGUCGAGAAUAGUCUACAAUGGCCGGAAGGCUGAUAGUGCGACGCCGCGUGAACGAGGGAGCCCUUCGGGUGUAAAGUUCUUUUCUAUACGAGCAGUGCUAUAUAUAUGGAUAGUAUAUAUAGAGGGAUAGUAGUAUAGGAAUAAGCAACGGCUAACUCCGUGCCAGCAGCCGC
rnacentral:rRNA from 1 species